GCUAUGGUGUGGGCCCGUAUGGGACUGUUUGUCGAUCCAGACAUGGACAACGGCCUGAUACCAUACUGAUGUUGCCGGCAAAGGAUCUGACCACUUCUGGAGUUAGACAGAAUGGUGAAGGCUUCCAUGUUUACUGACGCAAAAUCGCUGGAUCCACAGAGUGACGACACCAACUGGCAGUCGAACAAAGGUGAGCUUACAGUGAACUCUAGAAAAGCGUACAAAUGGCCUGCCACCAAACCAGAUUUGGUUCUGUUAUUUCACUCUAUGCUUUUCCAUAAGUGACAACUUGUGACCUCCCGGGUGGAAGAUGGACCGAGUUAUGUCAGGGGGAAGCUGAGGAGGGAGAAAGAAACCCCAGAUGGCUGGACCAGCACCAAACACAGAUGGGUCACGUGACGGGCACUUUGCCAUGGAACUUCCUGCGCACUCUCCCUCUCUGUCGCAGCAGUUGGUGUCACUAUUGGCGCCGUCUGCGUGAAUUCAAGGCCUUGGCUGAACAGAUUGGCCAGUCGGUGAGGAUCAUUUGCAGAAAACUGUUAAUCUCCCGCCGGCUGCAUCAAAUGCACUUGUGUGCACCGUCUUGCUUUAUUCUUUGUUUAAAUUGAGCGUGACUUGGCCACAGGUUUGACAUCAGGUCAGUGUAAAACAUUAUCCUAAAGGAAGGUGCUGUGACUUAUUUAUAGAUUUAAAAAAAACCUCUCUGAUCUUUUUGAAAGAAUAGUACACCAAUAGGGAGGCACUGUCCACACUUCGUGGUUUACAACUUUUUUUCUGGUAC